rnacentral:rRNA from 1 species
AGAGUUUGAUCCUGGCUCAGGAUGAACGCUAGCGGGAGGCUUAAUACAUGCAAGUCGUACGGUGAGAUUCCUUCGGGGAUCCUAGAGUGGCGAACGGGUGAGUAACACGUAUGCAAUCUGCCUCUAACAGGGAGAUAGCCCUUCGAAAGGAGGAUUAAUAUCCCAUAAUAUUAUUGGACGGCAUCGUCUGAUAAUUAAAACUCCGGUGGUUAGAGAUGAGCAUGCGUCCCAUUAGCUAGUUGGUGAGGUAAAGGCUCACCAAGGCAACGAUGGGUAACUGGUCUGAGAGGAUGAUCAGUCACACGGGCACUGAGACACGGGCCCGACUCCUACGGGAGGCAGCAGUAGGGAAUAUUGGGCAAUGGAGGCAACUCUGACCCAGCCAUCCCGCGUGCAGGAAGAAGGUCCUCUGGAUUGUAAACUGCUUUUGUUAGGGAAGAAAAAGUUCUAUUUAUAGAAUUCUGACGGUACCUAACGAAUAAGCACCGGCUAACUCCGUGCCAGCAGCCGCGGUAAUACGGAGGGUGCAAGCGUUAUCCGGAUUCACUGGGUUUAAAGGGUGCGUAGGCGGUCAUGUAAGUCAGUGGUGAAAGCUUCCAGCUUAACUGGGAAACUGCCAUUGAAACUGUGUGACUUGAGUACAAUUGAAGUGGGCGGAAUACAUCAUGUAGCGGUGAAAUGCUUAGAUAUGAUGUAGAACACCGAUUGCGAAGGCAGCUCACUAAAUUGCAACUGACGCUGAGGCACGAAAGCGUGGGUAGCGAACAGGAUUAGAUACCCUGGUUAGUCCACGCCCUAACGAUGAAUACUCGAUGUAUGGUACGGUUGGUACUAUGCGUCCAAGCGAAAGCGUUAAGUAUUCCACCUGGGGAGUACGGCCGCAAGGUUAAACUCAAAGGAUUGACGGGGCCCGCACAAGCGAAGGAGCAUGUGGGUU